rnacentral:rRNA from 1 species
UACGUAGGGUGCAAGCGUUGUUCGGAAUUACUGGGCGUAAAGGGCUCGUAGGCGGCCAACUAAGUCAGACGUGAAAUCCCUCGGCUUAACCGGGGAACUGCAUCUGAUACUGGAUGGCUUGAGUUCGGGAGAGGGAUGCGGAAUUCCAGGUGUAGCGGUGAAAUGCGUAGAUAUCUGGAGGAACACCGGUGGCGAAGGCGGCAUCCUGGACCGACGACUGACGCUGAGGAGCGAAAGCCAGGGGAGCAAAGCGGG